rnacentral:rRNA from 1 species
UACGAAGGGGGCUAGCGUUGCUCGGAAUUACUGGGCGUAAAGCGCACGUAGGCGGUUUCUUAAGUCGGGGGUGAAAUCCUGGAGCUCAACUCCAGAACUGCCUUUGAUACUGGGAGACUUGAGUCCGGGAGAGGUGAGUGGAACUGCGAGUGUAGAGGUGAAAUUCGUAGAUAUUCGCAAGAACACCAGUGGCGAAGGCGGCUCACUGGCCCGGUACUGACGCUGAGGUGCGAAAGCGUGGGGAGCAAACAGG